CUCCACAAUCAUUCACUUCCUGAUAUCCAAUUUGUUUCCUACAAAAUCUAAAAAAUUUCGGAGCUCACUUUAUUUCCUUCAUUCACCUCAACUCACAGAUCCAAACUAUUCACUCCAAAAAUCCUUCUCUCUCUGCGCGAAUAUCUCAACCAAUAGAUUCCUUUUCGUCCUUCACCUUUUACGCGUUUCUAGAUUUUCUUAUACGGUGCCGUAUUGAUGGAUCUGAUAUGAGAUUUUUGGAAUUUCAUUUUUUUAGUUAAGUAGAGUGGCUUGUAAUUUAAGUUAAAAGAAUAGAAGAGGUUUGAAUUUUAUUAGAGUUGUUAUCAUGGAUCUUGUUGUUGGUGGAAAAUUUAAGCUUGGGAGGAAAAUUGGGAGUGGAUCAUUUGGCGAGCUUUAUUUAGGUGUUAAUGUUCAAACUGAAGAGGAAGUGGCUGUUAAGCUGGAAUCUGUGAAGACAAAGCAUCCUCAACUUCUCUAUGAGUCCAAAUUGUAUAUGCUUCUUCAAGGAGGAACCGGCAUACCUCAUAUAAAGUGGUCUGGAGUGGAGGGUGACUACAAUGUCAUGGCUAUUGACCUUCUUGGACCAAGCCUUGAAGACUUGUUUAACUAUUGCAGUAGAAAAUUCUCUCUGAAAACAGUGUUGAUGCUUGCAGAUCAACUAAUAAACAGAGUAGAGUAUAUGCACUCCCGGGGCUUUCUGCAUCGUGAUAUAAAGCCCGACAACUUUUUAAUGGGUUUAGGCCGCAAGGCAAAUCAGGUUUACAUUAUUGACUAUGGCCUUGCGAAAAAGUAUCGUGAUCUUCAAACACAUAAGCAUAUACCAUACAGGGAAAAUAAGAAUCUCACCGGAACCGCUCGAUAUGCAAGUGUUAACACUCACCUUGGAGUUGAACAAAGCAGAAGAGAUGAUCUUGAAUCGCUUGGUUAUGUACUAAUGUACUUUUUGAGAGGAAGUCUUCCAUGGCAAGGCUUGAAAGCUGGCACUAAAAAGCAGAAAUACGACAAGAUAAGUGAAAAGAAGAUGCUUACUCCAAUAGAGGUCUUGUGCAAGUCACAUCCAACAGAAUUCACAUCAUAUUUCCACUAUUGCCGAUCGUUGCGGUUUGAAGAUAAACCCGAUUAUUCAUAUCUUAAGAGACUCUUCCGAGACCUUUUCAUUAGAGAAGGUUAUCAGUUUGACUAUGUAUUUGAUUGGACUAUAUUGAAGUAUCCUCAAAUAGGAUCCAGUUCUAGAACACGGCCAAGUGUGAAACCAGUCUUAAACCCAGGACCAUCUGGAGAGAGAUUAGAACGACCUUCAGUCGGAAAAGAGAUUCGAGAUAGAUUAUCAGGUGCAGUGGGGGCAUUUUCUAGAAGGAAUGGCUCGGGGCAUGGGCUGCAUAAGGAUCUUUCCAAGCACAGAUCUUUAGAUAAUACACCAUCUCCCAAAGAUGUGUCUGAAAAGCAUGGAUCUGAAGAAUGUGAGAAAGACAUGUUCUCAUUCCUUGCCGAGACAAUGGAGACUACUAUAAAAUCAUGGCAUGAAACUUCUUCAGUGGGUUCUAUAGUUUACUUUCUUCAUGAUAAGGAAAAGGCGCAAACCAACAAGUAUCCUCCAUUUGUGAAUAUCAAUAGGGCCUUUGAAUUACCACAAACACACAGAAGCUGCUUUUCAUUUCUUAGGCAGUACGCCGCGGAGUCUUUCUCCAAAGCAGCAUGCUUAGUGACUUCCAAAAACAUCAUUGCUUAUCCACAAGUAACUUUUGAUUUCUUAAUGCGUUAAAUGUCUGGAAAGGACAAGGAUCAAGGAAAUGGAAACAUGCACAGAAUGAUGGUUUCUUUGGUCAAUUUGAGUUCCCUUCCCUGCGAAAAUUGUGGUUUAUUUCCGGUUCGAAUGAAAAUGGAAACACUGUGCAGGGAGCCAGAAGAUUCGGACAUUGGUGCUCAUGAAGUUGUUCCUUGCUUGUUCGAACAAAUGAUGUCUCGUUCUUAACGUCCUUUACUAAUAUAUGGCGAGUAUUUAUAAAAAGGAUACGCAAGAUGUUCUUCAAAUUUUAGAUUUAUUUUAAAGUUAUCCAAGCUUUCAAGGAGUUGCAUUUUUUGGGAAUUAUUUUCAUGAUUUGAUUGCUUAGUCUAUUCUGGUGUUCUGGAGAAUGGCCAUUAGUUUGUUUAUCACUUAUCAGUAGGUAUCGAUGUUGUAUCUGAAUACUGUGGUCGAGUGAUGGAUAUUAAAUCUGCCAGUUAAUUCUAUAGUUUUGAUCAA